rnacentral:lncRNA from 1 species
UUGAAAUUGGCGAGAAAUGAUGAAACUUACGAUCUCGACCGCCACGGACGCCACCUCGAGUUGGAUGAUACAUGUUUGUCGAUGUUUCCAAAUUAUUUGAUUUUUGGUUUCACUUUUCUUAAUCGAUAGGACUCUAAAGUUGAUGUUUAAGAAAAGUUUCAAAUCAAGGAUCAAUGUUUUAUUCCCAAAAAAUAGUUGCAAAUUCUCCCAUCGUCGUUAAUAUAAUAAACUGUUUGGGUCAAGAAAAGUUAUUUGAGUCAACAAGACUGAUUUAUUUAAUUUAAAAUUAUGACUAUAUAUAAAAAAAAUGACUAUAUAUCAAAAAAAUAUUAUCAAUCCUCU